rnacentral:rRNA from 1 species
GGGCGUAAAGAGCUCGUAGGCGGUUUGUCGCGUCUGCUGUGAAAGCCCGGGGCUUAACCCCGGGUGUGCAGUGGGUACGGGCAGACUUGAGUGCAGUAGGGGAGACUGGAAUUCCUGGUGUAGCGGUGAAAUGCGCAGAUAUCAGGAGGAACACCGAUGGCGAAGGCAGGUCUCUGGGCUGUUACUGACGCUGAGGAGCGAAAGCAUGGGGAGCGAACAGGAUUAGAUACCCUGGUAGUCCAUGCCGUAAACGUUGGGCACUAGGUGUGGGGAACAUUCCACGUUUUCCGCGCCGUAGCUAACGCAUUAAGUGCCCCGCCUGGGGAGUACGGCCGCAAGGCUAAAACUCAAAGGAAUUGACGGGGGCCCGCACAAGCGGCGGAGCAUGCGGAUUAAUUCGAUGCAACGCGAAGAACCUUACCAAGGCUUGACAUACACCGGACCGGGCCAGAGAUGGUCUUUCCCCCUUGUGGGGCUGGUGUACAGGUGGUGCAUGGUUGUCGUCAGCUCGUGUCGUGAGAUGUUGGGUUAAGUCCCGCAACGAGCGCAACCCUCGUUCUAUGUUGCCAGCACGUGAUGGUGGGGACUCAUAGGAGACUGCCGGGGUCAACUCGGAGGAAGGUGGGGAUGACGUCAAAUCAUCAUGCCCCUUAUGUCUUGGGCUUCACGCAUGCUACAAUGGCCAGUACAAUGGGUUGCGAUGCCGCGAGGUGGAGCUAAUCCCAAAAAGCUGGUCUCAGUUCGGAUCGUGGUCUGCAACUCGACCACGUGAAGUCGGAGUCGCUAGUAAUCGCAGAUCAGCAACGCUGCGGUGAAUACGUUCCCGGGCCUUGUACACACCGCCCGUCAAGUCACGAAAGUUGGUAACACCCGAAGCCGGUGGCCUAACCCUUGUGGGG